GGCGGACAUCCCGUGGAUGACACACGACUGAGAGUUACGUCGACGAUGACUCACCUUGACACAGCUUGACGGCGCCAGUGAUGAUGAUGACGAUGAGGGCGGCCACCUUGGCGUAGGUGAAGACGUCCUGCACGCGCGUGCCCCACUUCACGUACGCCGAGUUGAUGAAGGUGAGCAGGCCUGAGGAGAGGAGACGCCGCGUGAAGAGGGGGGGGGGGGGGGACGGGACGGGACGGCGCGGCGACUUACAGAUGCAGGCGGCGGCGAUGAGCCUGGAGGCGGCGUAGGGCGGCUCGCAGGUGGGGAAGAGCGGCUGCACCAGGUAGUUGGCGAAGGUGAUGGCGAUGACGGCCUGGCUGGUGGGCUCGAUGAUCAGCAGCGACGUCCACAGGCGGAUGAAGGCGAUGAAGCCGCCGAAGGACUCCAGGAUGUACGCGUACGAGGCGCCCGACUUGGUGACGGUGGUGCCCAGCUCGGCGUAGCAGAGGGCGCCCACCACCGAGAAGACGCCGCCGAUGGCCCAGAUGACCAGCGACAGCCCGUAGGAGGCGCUGUAGAUGAGCACGCCCUUGGGCGACACGAAGAUGCCCGAACCGAUCAUGUUGCCCACGAUGAGGCUGACGCCGUUCAGCAGCGAGAUCUCCUUCUUCAGCUGCAUGCUCUCCUUGGGCGGGGCCGACGCUUCCUGGGCGGACAUGUUGGCGUCCACGCGGCUGGGGUGUCUCUGUCGAACACAGCGAGUCUUUAUGCCGAGUCGUGACUAUUGCUGUAUUCCUCCAUUGGGAUUCUUCAGCGGAAAUGACAGCAGGAUCAAUCAACCAAUCAGUGAAGAGGAAACUAGCGAAGGCGGAGCCUCAGCCAGGUAAACAUGACCUACAUUCUACUAACAAUGGAUGGCAUUAUCUCUCUCUUUCAUGUUAUUGUGGACACAUUUGCUCCCAUUUAAAAAAAACAAAAAAAUGUGUAAACAUUGAAGAAUGCGAUGACGUCACCGCUGCGCUCAUUUUUUGUUUGCUCGGCCUGCCUCGUCGUUGCUCAACCAACCAUGUCACUAUAGUGGGAUUAAAUUCAAUAGUUGGUGGGAUUUGAGUGUUAUUUUCCACGCAAGAAUUAACAACGAUAACAGGAAAGUGUCCAACAAAAGCCGGCGUCGUCUCGCUCCGAAACCAGGAAGAGCGACGCUGCUUCUCCACCGCCAGCUUAUUUCCGGAUGUCGCUUUCAAAAUAAAAGCACAUAAAAUACGCUCCCACGGUCGGACGCGACCACUUUUUACAUUUUCACCGACACAUUCCACUCAAUUUGAACAUUUAUAUCCCGUUAAAAUUCUUAAAUGGAAUAGAAAGUAUGAUUCAGCGAGUACAUGUUCGCUAUAGAUAUACUUCGUCACGAGCAUUUGUUUCUCAGUCCAAACCGCUACACAUUUAUAAAUAUUGAUUAUCAACGGCUAAUUUGACGAUAUGUAUUUAAUAAAUAAAAAAUAAAUACAGUUUACAUUUGUUUGGUUUUCUUCUCCUCCGCCGGUGUCACACCGGCUAGCUUGACGCGAAAGCCCCCUUUGGCCAUGAGGAUGCCUGAUUAAAAAUUCCGAGCGGCAACGCGCGCCGAUAAAAUCCACCACAACGUGUUUCGAAGUCCAACAAGUUCCCGACAACAUGAACCAAAACAAGAAGAAGAAACGUGUCCCGGUGGUACCUGCGCUGACUUCCGCUGGUGAGGAUGUGACAGGCGGCCGACAGGGGCGAGAGUGCAUCAGCAGCACCUGGGAACGACUGCCGCUGCUCGGUGACGUCACCGCAAGACGCUGAGUGACGUCACUGCUGCCGACAUUACAUAGUGUGAUAAUUCAAAUCAUCACUAAAAAAUAUAUAUUUUUCCACGGAAAGAU